AAAAAGGGGCAUGGCCUCAGUAACGGCGAGUGAGGCGGCAAAGCUCAAAUUUGAAAUCUGGUACCUUCGGUGCCCGAGCUUUUAAUUUGAAGAUAGUUUUCUGGUGCUGGUCCUUGUCUAUGUUCCUUGGAACAGGACGUCACAGAGGGUGAGAAUCCCGUCUGGCGAGGUGUCCAGUGCUAUGUAGAUUUCUAUCGACGAGUCGAGUUGUUUGGGAAUGCAGCUCUAAGUGGGUGGUAAAUUCCAUCUAAAGCUAAAUAUUGGCGAGAGACCGAUAGCGAACAAGUACAGUGAUGGAAAGAUGAAAAGAACUUUGAAAAGAGAGUGAAAAAGUACGUGAAAUUGUUGAAAGGGAAGGGUAUUAGAUCAGACUUGGUGUUUUGUGAUUAUCUUCCCUUCUUGGGUUGUGCACUCGCAUUUCACUGGGCCAGCAUCGGUUCGGGUGGCAAGAUAAUGACAUUGGAACGUGGCACCUUCUUCGGUUGGUGUGUUAUAGCCUUUGUUGAUGUUGCCUGUCUGGACCGAGGACUGCGGCUUUUUGCCUAGGAUGCUGGCGUAAUGAUCUAAUACCGCCCGUCUUGAAACACGGACCA
rnacentral:rRNA from 1 species